rnacentral:rRNA from 1 species
UACGGUGGGAGCAAGCGUUGUUCGGAUUUACUGGGCGUAAAGGGCGCGUAGGCGGCCACCGCAAGUCGACUGUGAAAUCUCUGGGCUUAACCCAGAAAGGUCAGCCGAUACUGCGGGGCUAGAGUGCAGAAGGGGCAACUGGAAUUCUCGGUGUAGCGGUGAAAUGUGUAGAUAUCGAGAGGAACACCUGCGGCGAAGGCGGGUUGCUGGGCUGACACUGACGCUGAAGCGCGCAAGCUAGGGGAGCGAACGGG